GAUGAACGCUGGCGGCGUGCUUAACACAUGCAAGUCGAACGAACCUUCGGGGUUAUGGGCGGACGGGUGAGUAACGCGUGAGAAUCUGCCCUCAGGAGGGGGACAACAGCUGGAAACGGCUGCUAAUACCCCAUAUGCCGCGAGGUGAAAUGAAUUUCGCCUGAGGAUGAGCUCGCGUCUGAUUAGCUAGUUGGUGAGGUAAUGGCUCACCAAGGCAUCGAUCAGUAGCUGGUCUGAGAGGAUGAUCAGCCACACUGGGACUGAGACACGGCCCAGACUCCUACGGGAGGCAGCAGUGGGGAAUUUUCCGCAAUGGGCGAAAGCCUGACGGAGCAACGCCGCGUGAGGGAUGAAGGCCUCUGGGCUGUAAACCUCGUUUUUAUCAAGGAAGAAGAUCUGACGGUACUUGAUGAAUAAGCCACGGCUAAUUCCGUG
rnacentral:rRNA from 1 species